AGAAGGAGAGGAACACUCAGCAGUCGGCAGUACUCCAAUAUCCUCCCACGUUCAAACUGUUUGACUAUUUCUAUGAGCAAUUUCAAUGACUCCCUUUGAGAUUCGUCUUGAGAUCAGGAGGAAAACAAGAGUCUGUAACCAAAGUGAAAGCAUGAACAUUGGAAUAAAAUGGUCCUCAGCUGAACAACAGCCAGUUCUCUUAUUAAUGUGUAACCUAAGACGGCUUAUGUGAUGCACCUAGGAAUGGAGAGGACAAAGCGGCAGACUGGAAGCUGUGAACUGGAUCGACAUCAAGGACUCCUCACUAAGACCAACUAGUCAGAAGCAAAGAAGAGACAACAGGUGAACUCCACAUUGAAGAGUGACUGCCAAAGUAGAUUAAAAGAAGCAAGAAGAGGGGUGUUCUGUGGAGGAAAGCUUUGAGACACAUUAGGCUUCCUAAUUGCUCCUGGAGGUCAGAAGUAAUGGCUUUUUGAAGUAAGAAAGUCUGUUCAUACAUCUGGCUCAGUUAUUCUUCAGCAUAUUAAGGCCACCACUGUUUUUCAGUGAAGUCUUUUUCUGAUAUAUUGCUACUUGCUCUUUUGCAAGCCCUCACUAAGAAGAUGCAUAUGAACAAUUCACAAACUUCCCAGCAAAUUAUCCACAGUUUGUCUGUCACACUCAUGCUCUCCUGAAUGUGUACACACCCUCUUCAAGUCUGAUCUAGAACAACAUGCAGGACUUGUCAGUGGAAAGCUGCUUUGAUCACUGGGUGCAUCGAUUAAUUCCAACUCACUGUGGCACACAUGAAUUAGCCUAAAUAAUGAGUCUAGCUCCUUCUGUUGGUGACUGUAGAAAAUGAUAAUAUGUAAUGUUAAAUUAUCUAA